ensembl:lncRNA
GGAUACUGAUCUUUCUAGCUCCUGUAUAUAGGUCCAGUUCAGAGUUUAAUUAUUUAUACAGCGCUGGUAGUCAUUCUAAGGGCAAUGCUUCUGUUGCAGAUGAUUUUAUGCAUCCUUGCUUUCACCACAGGUUAACAUCAGAGGCCAGCAUCCAUGUUGAACAGACUCUAAAGUUCAACCUACUCUUCUCUGCAGGAACCCUGAGGAAAAUAAAACAACGACAUCGAGUGACAGGAAAUGUAUGGCUUCACGCUGUGCCUCAGACAGCAGGUGUACUGUCAUGUGAUCACAAGCAUGGCUCUCUGUCAUUCGCAGCAAUCACUGAACGACACCACCGGCAAAUAGCUACUGCAGAAGGACGAUUUCUCAGGGUGUCAAUCAUCACGAUCUGUUCAAACAUGUCUCUGGCGCAGCGAAACCAACGGUGAUGCCAGAAGUGUCAUGCCUGUUCAAACUGAGGGAGCACAUGUGAUCACUGCAUUUUAAGGGAAUAGUUUACCCAAAAUUAAAAUUUGCUGAAAAUUUACUCACCCUCAGGCCAUCCAAAUUGAUUCACCCCAAGGCCAUCCAAGAUGAAGAUGAGUUUGUCAACAGAUUUGGAGAAAUUUAGCAUUACUUC